rnacentral:misc_RNA from 1 species
GUAAUUGGAUUCUUGUUGGGUAUCGGCGGCGGUGGUUGGAGGUGGGAUUUCGCGGAGGAAGAACAUGGCGAAGAGACAGACGGCGAAGGGGACAAAGGCGAGCAUGAGGAGGAAAGAAGAUGGGUCGGAGGAAAACAGAGCGGUACAGAGAUCGGUGAAAAUGGCGGUGCUGAGGCCGACGUAGCCUUUGAGAAUGCCGGAAACUGGGCCGCGAUUCUUCCGGAAGUUUCUGAUGCAAGUUACUAGCACCGCCGUGUUCAUCCAUGUCGUGCUGUUUCCGCCCAAACACAAGAAGAUGCACAUCUGCCAAUAAGGAAGAGGAGAAAUCCUUUGGCUAACGACAAGCCACUGAGCGCCAUAGCCAAGAAGACCUUCAAGAGAUCCAAUAAGCAAGAUCACCCAUGUGGGAAACCGGUCACAGGCGAUUCCGGCGAGAAGUCCGAAGGCUUUUCCGACGUCUUUAGCGACGGAGAGAUUAUUGAGCUGAAGUUGGGUUAGAUUCAUCAGAGAUUUGAGGGAGUCGGAGUAGUUGGAAAAAGUGUAGUUGUUUCCGGAAAUGGCCUGAACCCACACGGCGGAGACAAACCCCAGCCAUUUCAGCACCGUCGUCGAAGGCGGCAGCUUCAAAGAACCCAUCAAUUAUUU